rnacentral:tRNA from 1 species
GGGCCGCUAGCUCAGUCGGUAGAGCAGCUGACUCUUAAUCAGCGGGUCCGGAGUUCGACUCUCCGGCGGCCCA